GUUGAAAAUUUCGAGAGUCAGAAACAAAGUUCAAGAUUUUAUAUUGUUAUAGUUUUUGUUAACCUUCAUACUCCAUGCUGUUUAGCGGAUUUGAGGCCAGAGCCAGCCAUUAUAACCACACAACAUUCAAGUUUUUCUUGUGCAGGUGUUAACCUGUCCUCAGCAACAAUUUCAGGAUCAUCGCUUGGAUACACAGCAUCCCAUUGCAUUGGCAAAACUACCGAUGUCAA